rnacentral:rRNA from 1 species
GACGAACGCUGGCGGCGUGCUUAACACAUGCAAGUCGAACGGAAAGGCCCUGCUUUUGUGGGGUGCUCGAGUGGCGAACGGGUGAGUAACACGUGAGUAACCUGCCCUUGACUUUGGGAUAACUUCAGGAAACUGGGGCUAAUACCGGAUAGGAGCUCCUGCUGCAUGGUGGGGGUUGGAAAGUUUCGGCGGUUGGGGAUGGACUCGCGGCUUAUCAGCUUGUUGGUGGGGUAGUGGCUUACCAAGGCUUUGACGGGUAGCCGGCCUGAGAGGGUGACCGGCCACAUUGGGACUGAGAUACGGCCCAGAGUCCUACGGGAGGCAGCAGUGGGGAAUAUUGCACAAUGGGCGGGAGCCUGAUGCAGCAACGCCGCGUGCGGGAUGACGGCCUUCGGGUUGUAAACCGCUUUCGCCUGUGACGAAGCGUGAGUGACGGUAAUGGGUAAAGAAGCACCGGCUAACUACGUG